AUUGAACGCUGGCGGAAUGCUUUACACAUGCAAGUCGAACGGCAGCACGGGGGCAGCCCUGGUGGCGAGUGGCGAACGGGUGAGUAAUACAUCGGAACGUGCCCGGUCGUGGGGGAUAACGUAGCGAAAGUUAUGCUAAUACCGCAUACGAUCUGAGGAUGAAAGCGGGGGACCUUCGGGCCUCGCGCGAUCGGAGCGGCCGAUGUCAGAUUAGGUAGUUGGUGGGGUAAAGGCCUACCAAGCCGACGAUCUGUAGCUGGUCUGAGAGGACGACCAGCCACACUGGGACUGAGACACGGCCCAGACUCCUACGGGAGGCAGCAGUGGGGAAUUUUGGACAAUGGGCGCAAGCCUGAUCCAGCCAUUCCGCGUGCAGGACGAAGGCCUUCGGGUUGUAAACUGCUUUUGUACGGAACGAAAAGGCUCUGGCUAAUACCUGGGGCUCAUGACGGUACCGUAAGAAUAAGCACCGGCUAACUACGUG
rnacentral:rRNA from 1 species